UCAGACGGCUGGAUGGCUGCGCUCGGCGGGCAACCGUCGGGUGAGGAAAGUCCGGGCUCCACGGAGACACGGUGCCGGUUAACGGCCGGCGGGGGCGACCCCAGGGAAAGUGCCACAGAGAACAGACCGCCGGGCUGGUUCGCCAGUCAGGCAAGGGUGAAACGGUGGGGUAAGAGCC
rnacentral:RNase_P_RNA from 1 species